GAUGAAGAACGUAGCGAAAUGCGAUAAGUAAUGUGAAUUGCAGAAUUCAGUGAAUCAUCGAAUCUUUGAACGCACAUUGAGCCCGCCAGUAUUCUGGCGGGCAUGCCUGUUCGAGCGUCAUUACAACCCUCAGGCCCCCGGGCCUGGCGUUGGGGAUCGGCGGAGCCCCCCGUGGGCACACGCCGUCCCCCAAAUGCAGUGGCGGUCCCGCCGCAGCUUCCAUCGCGUAGUAGCUAACACCUCGCGACUGGAGAGCGGCGCGGCCACGCCGUAAAACACCCAACUCUUCUGAAGUUGACCUCGAAUCAGGUAGGAAUACCCGCUGAACUUAAGCAUAUCAAUAAGCGGAGGA
rnacentral:misc_RNA from 1 species